UCAUGACACAGUCUUAAUAUAGUGACUAAGUGGCCCCUGGAGUCAGUUUCACUUUCACGUUAGUUUUGGUCAAACACAUCUGAAGUUUCACAGACACUGAGAGAAUCAUCAUAUAAUCACCACAUAAAUAAGAUCAACCAUGCCGAAGACAUCGACUGAGAUCCAUAAAUCAAGGAUGAGUAAUGAGAUGGAGCGUGAGGUUCUUCAGGUCGCUCUUCUGGCUGUGAAUAUGUACAAAAAUAGCAUGGACAUUGCUGAUUACAUCAAGACGGAGUUUGAGAAAAGGCAUGAGAAAAACUGGCAAUGCAUUGUGGGGAACUUUGCUUACAGCGUGACACAUAAUAAGAACAGUUUGAUCCUUUUCUCUGUUGAUGGCGAAAGAAUUUUGCUCUUCAAAACUGACUGAGGUUCAUCAACAGUUCAAACACAAUUUAUUUGAUCCACAUAAUUAAUAAAUCAUCCUCCUUCA